rnacentral:lncRNA from 1 species
GUGGUCAUACAUUUUGUGAAGCUCAUUGAUGCGAUAGGCAGCAUAUGCAAUGCAUACUGCAAGAAAGGUCAUUAAGGCAGCAAGAAUAUAAGGAAAAUAGACUAUAAAUUGUUCUUGAAACAUUGUCACAAACAAAAUUAUUAUAAAUCUUUCUCUGUGGCGUUAAAAACAACCUUUCACACUACACAGUUUGGUUUCCCAGACUUUUUUUUAUUUUAGCAUGUUCCCUUUUGUUGAAAUUCUCCUUUAUUGUAUCUUCCUCCUGCAUCUUGGAGCACUACUCAAGACUAACUAGAUACUGCUUUUAUUGUAAAAGCAGGCUUAAAUUGCUUUAAUGUUGCUCC